rnacentral:rRNA from 1 species
AUUGAACGCUGGCGGCAGGCCUAACACAUGCAAGUCGAACGGUAACAGGAAGCAGCUUGCUGCUUCGCUGACGAGUGGCGGACGGGUGAGUAAUGUCUGGGAAACUGCCUGAUGGAGGGGGAUAACUACUGGAAACGGUAGCUAAUACCGCAUAACGUCGCAAGACCAAAGAGGGGGACCUUAGGGCCCCUUGCCAUCGGAUGUGCCCAGAUGGGAUUAGCUAGUAGGUGGGGUAACGGCUCACCUAGGCGACGAUCCCUAGCUGGUCUGAGAGGAUGACCAGCCACACUGGAACUGAGACACGGUCCAGACUCCUACGGGAGGCAGCAGUGGGGAAUAUUGCACAAUGGGCGCAAGCCUGAUGCAGCCAUGCCGCGUGUAUGAAGAAGGCCUUCGGGUUGUAAAGUACUUUCAGCGGGGAGGAAGGGAGUAAAGUUAAUACCUUUGCUCAUUGACGUUACCCGCAGAGGAAGCACCGGCUAACUCCGUG